rnacentral:sRNA from 1 species
UACAGCUUAACGACUGUACCACCUUAGC